rnacentral:lncRNA from 1 species
CCACUGCGUCGUCUCCGAGCAGCCAUGAACGAGCAAGCAGCGACAACCCCAGCUCGAGCUCAGUUCAUCGAGCUCCGGCUCAGCGAUGCAGCAAGAGUCAGGCCCGUUAUUUCUGCUGCAUUCUGCUACGUUUAGCUGCUUCUUCGUGGUCGUCUUCGUCGUCGAGUUAUUUUGGUGCGAUAAUUAUUUCCGGACAGAUUUAUUUCCGUUCGAGUUCGUCGUUGUUCCGAUUUGGUUAGUUGGUUUAAGUUUCAUUUCUAUCCGUAUCUUGUUUGAUAUUUUCGGAUUUGAAAUCAGUAUAUGUUUGAUUCAUUUCUUAAUUAUUUCUUCAGUUUGUUUUUAUUCAUUUGUUCUUGUUUAGUUUAAUAUAGAAGUGUGUUAGUUAUAAUGUUGUUAGAUUUAAUUUGAAGUUCAAUUGAUUUUGAGUUUAGUGAUUUGAAUCUACUUGUUUGUUAUUGUUGUUGAAUCUGAAAGUAAGUUUGUUGUUAAAAGAAAAAAAUAAAAUAAAAAUAUUGUUCAGUCAAAAUAAUUCCAGUUGUUUCUUUGUUGUUCAUCAUUUAGUUUGAAUUUGUUGUUUGAAUUUGUUUUGGAAUUGGUUAUAGUUUUUGUAUUUUGGUUAGAAUUGAUUAGGCGAAUUGGUUAUAGCUGAUGGGGGUAGAAUGGUAAAUUGCAGUAUUUUUAGGGGUAAAAUGGUAAUUUCAGUAAGUUCGGAGGGGUAUUUUUGGAAUUAAAUAUUUGAACAAUUAUUUAAUCUGAGUGCUCCGUCCACUAGACAUUAAUAAUAUUACAAUAGUACAUGGUGGGGGACAAGACAUAAUGGAGUGGGAAUAAUGCAUUUGUUUAAUAUAGUGGGGGACAAGACAUAAUGGAGUGGGAAUAAUGUAUUUGUUUAAUAUAGUGGGGGACAAAACAUGUAGGCAUGGGGAACAAGGGAAUUAAAUAAGAAAAACAUUAAGUAGUGGGGGCAAGACAUGCAAUUAUGGGAAUAUUUCGGGUUAGUGGUUCAAGACAAAAGUCUUGGUUAUAAAUAGAGUCAUUUUUUACACAGUGUAAAAAGGGGAUAGAGGAGAAAGUUGAGAGAGUUGACUGAAUUUUGAGAAUUCAAAAUUUGAGAGCAAAAAGAGAAAAACAAGCUGAACUUUUACUUGAAUAAUUUCAGGUUGCUUUUCCUUGAGUGUUAUUCAAAAAUCAGUAAACUAUUGUGUCUUGUAUCCGUCUCUCUUCUGCUUUGACUGCGAUUGCAUUCUAGUACUGGUGGUUUUCAAUCUGUUACUGGGUUAUUCUACUGGUCGUUACUGGUUUUGUUGUUGCUGAACCUGUUGUUGUUGUGUAUUUACGUUACUGCUGCUUCUACUGAUCUUCCUCUUCUUUUACUUCCAAUACCAGGUACAUGGUCGUAACCUUAU